CCUACGGGUGGCAGCAGUGAGGAAUAUUGGUCAAUGGCCGUAAGGCUGAACCAGCCAAGUCGCGUGAAGGAAGAAGGAUCUAUGGUUUGUAAACUUCUUUUAUAGGGGAAUAAAGGUAUCCACGUGUGGAUAUUUGCAUGUACCCUAUGAAUAAGCAUCGGCUAACUCCGUGCCAGCAGCCGCGGUAAUACGGAGGAUGCGAGCGUUAUCCGGAUUUAUUGGGUUUAAAGGGUGCGUAGGUUGUUUUUUAAGUCAGCGGUGAAAGUUUGUGGCUCAACCAUGAGAGUGCGGCGCGAACUGGAGACCUUGAGUGCGCGGAAGGCAGGCGGAAUUCGUGGUGUAGCGGUGAAAUGCUUAGAUAUCACGAAGAACCCCGAUUGCGAAGGCAGCCUGCCGCAGCGUUACUGACGCUGAAGCUCGAAAGCGCGGGUAUCGAACAGGAUUAGAUACCCGAGUAGUC
rnacentral:rRNA from 1 species